rnacentral:rRNA from 1 species
UAGUCCAUGCCGUAAACGAUGAUUACUAGCUAUUAGCGAUACAAUGUUAGUGGCACAGCGAAAGCGUUAAGUAAUCCACCUGGGAAGUACGGUCGCAAGAUUGAAACUCAAAGGAAUUGACGGGGGCCCGCACAAGCGGUGGAGCAUGUGGUUUAAUUCGAUGAUACGCGAGGAACCUUACCAGGGCUUAAAUGGGAAUUGACAGGACUGGAAACAGUUUUUUCUUCGGACAAUUUUCAAGGUGCUGCAUGGUUGUCGUCAGCUCGUGCUGUGAAGUGUCGGGUUAAGUCCCAUAACGAGCGCAACCCCUAUCUUUAGUUGCUAGCAGGUAAUGCUGAGGACUCUAGAGAAACUGCCCGUGCAAACGGUGAGGAAGGUGGGGAUGACGUCAAAUCAUCACGGGCCCUUACGUCCUGGGGCUACACACGUGCUACAAUGGCCGGGUACAGAGGGGCAGCUAUUCCGCGAGGGAUGUGCAAAUCUCAAAAGCCGGGU